AACGAACGCUGGCGGCGUGCUUAACACAUGCAAGUCGAACGCGAAAGGGACUUCGGUCCCGAGUAGAGUGGCGCACGGGUGAGUAACGCGUAAGUAAUCUACCCCUGUAUUCGGAAUAACCCACCGAAAGGUGAGCUAAUACCGGAUACGUUUAUCUUGAUGCGAAUGAUGAUAAAGAAAGGUGGCCUCUUCAUGAAAGCUACUGUCAAGGGACGAGCUUGCGUACCAUUAGCUAGUUGGUAGGGUAAUGGCCUACCAAGGCGACGAUGGUUAGCGGGUCUGAGAGGAUGAUCCGCCACACUGGAACUGGAACACGGACCAGACUCCAACGGGAGGCAGCAGUGAGGAAUAUUGCGCAAUGGGGGCAACCCUGACGCAGCGACGCCGCGUGGAUGAUGAAGGCCCUUGGGUCGUAAAAUCCUGUCAGAUGGAAAGAAAUGUAUAGCAGUUAAUAUCUGUUAUAUUUGACGGUACCAUCAAAGGAAGCACCGGCUAACUCCGUGCCAGCCGCCGCCGUAAGAC
rnacentral:rRNA from 1 species